UAGGGAAUCUUCCACAAUGGGCGCAAGCCUGAUGGAGCAACGCCGCGUGAGUGAAGAAGGUUUUCGGAUCGUAAAGCUCUGUUGUAAGAGAAGAACGUGUGUGAGAGUGGAAAGUUCACACAGUGACGGUAACUUACCAGAAAGGGACGGCUAACUACGUGCCAA
rnacentral:rRNA from 1 species